rnacentral:rRNA from 1 species
CCUACGGGUGGCAGCAGUGAGGAAUAUUGGUCAAUGGCCGGAAGGCUGAACCAGCCAUGCCGCGUGAAGGUCAGUGCCCUAUGGGCGUUAAACUUCUUUUGUGCGGGAGCAAUAGUGGUCACGUGUGGCCAGACGAGAGUACCGUACGAAUAAGCAUCGGCUAACUCCGUGCCAGCAGCCGGCGGUAUACGGGGGAUGCAAGCGGUUUCCGGAUUUAUUGGGUUUAAAGGGUGGGUAGGCUGGGUGGUAAGUUAGCGGUGAAAUGCCCCCGCUCAACGGGGUGAAGUGCAAUUGAUACUGCCUGGCUGGAAUGCGGAUGCCGUGGGAGGAAUGUGUGGUGUAGCGGUGAAAUGCAUAGAUAUCACACAGAACACCGAUUGCGAAGGCAUCUCACGAAUCCGCGAUUGACGCUGAUGCACGAAAGCGUGGGUAUCAAACAGGAUUAGAUACCCCUGUAGUC